rnacentral:tRNA from 1 species
GCCCCUGUAGCUCAGUUGGAUAGAGCACCGGCCUCCGAAGCCGGUAGCGAGAGUUCGAGUCUCUCCAGGGGCG